CGUGCAGGCGGGUGGAUAAGUCUGAUGUGAAAGCCCUGGGCUUAACCCGGGAAGUGCAUUGGAAACUGUUCAUCUUGAGUACUGGAGAGGAAGGGAGAAUUCCCGGUGUAGAGGUGAAAUUCGUAGAGAUCGGGAGGAACACCAGUGGCGAAGGCGCCCUUCUGGACGGUUACUGACGCUGAGACGCGAAAGCGUGGGGAGCAAACA
rnacentral:rRNA from 1 species